UGCAAGAUGGCCUGACCAAUGGGCAUUAUGUCUCUGUUUUACCUAACAAGUGACUAGGAAGACAGAACUAAGGCCAAAGGAUGACAUAACAAGGCCUGAAAUUUCAACCCAAUAACUUUGCAGUUUUGAACAGGUGCCUUUAUGAAGAUGUUGAAACAGCUCUAAUGAUUUUGUACAACCUUGCUCCUUUCUGAGACAUUGAAAGUGUGACCUGAGAGAGGUUUGAUGACUUGCCCAGUAUCAUCCAGCUCCAGGCCUAGGACUAGAACUCAGGUUGUAGCUCUCUGUUGAUGAUUUUUCCCCAUUACACCAGUGGCAAAGGAAAGGUAAGAGUCACCAAGGGAGUUGAGGAGUUUUAGGCAUUAGUGUUACAACAUCAAACUAUGUCUUUGUCAAAGGGUAAGCUGCAGAUGUUACAGGAAUGCCAGGUGCAUGCUGUGAAGUUAAGAAGGAUUCCUUCCCUCAUACCAAACUUGUCAUCCUACAGAGUUCCCCUUGGCUUUGGACUUUAUGAAUAGCUUUAUUCACAGAGAGACCUGCAGAAUCGAAAAAAAUGAUACACUAGCAGGUAAAAAAAAAAAAAUGCAGAUAGAUACUUCAGUAAAAUGUUUACAUGAAAAAUCUAGAUGACAGGAUACAGUCGGGUUAACAUUCUAAAGUCAACAGAGUGGCUCCUCUGUACAAGUCAUUGUGCUGGGUGCUGAGUGUGUGUGCAUGUGUGUAUGUACAUGGCUACAUGAGUGAGUGUGAGAGACACACAAGGAUAAGACAGAACCCAGGUCUUCAAGGCUUGCACUGUAGUUUCUGAUAUAAGACUAUAAACAUCAAAGAAAUGACUAAUAAUAUGGAGUAGGUGAUUGUUAAGUGGCAUAAUGUGUCUGCAGGAGUUCUCAGAAGGGGGGGUUAGAAUUGUCAGGCAAGGUGCUCCUAGAAAGAUAGGGGAUUUGAGGCAAACCUCAAAAGGAAGAAAGGUUCUUGAUAAGAAGGGAGAAAUGGGAAUGAGCAAACAGCGUGGCUUUAAUGUCAGAGGAAGACAAAGAAAUCACACCUUAAAAGAAAGGACCAGAUCAAACUGAAAAGCCUUGAAAGUUAAAGUUCUUACAGAAGUGGAAAGAUGCAAAAAGACUACUAAACAGGGGCGCCUGGCUGACUCAGUCAGUAGAGCAUGCAACUCUUGAUCUUGGGCUUGUGAGUUUGAGUCCCAUGUUGGACGUAGGAUUUAUUUUAAAAAAUAGUUUCUGUUAAAAAAUUUUUUUCUAAACAUAGAAUUACAGGGUUCAGAACAGGUUAAUUUAACAAACAUCUUCUGGGAGGGACCACAGUGUGCAGGCAUGGGAUGAAUGACUGAAGAUGAACUUGCCCUUGGUGGGGAACUAACUUCAGCCUGGGAGGUGGGUUGGACUUCAGAUGAGAAGAGAGUGAAGCGGAGUGGAAGGGACAGGUUAGAAUGACUUGCCAAGGAAGAACCAGCAGGUUCCAGCGGAUGACUGACUAGGAGGCAGAGAAAGUCAGCAGAGACAUCUCCAAAGUAUGAAGUUAGACAACCGCAAGAAUGGAAGAGUAAAGGGAAGCUUGCUGAAGGGAGAGAUGCAGAGCUUGGUUUUGGAAGUGUUGAAUCCAAAGGAUAACUACAUCAGUGUGUCCAGUGGGCAUUUACAGGUAUGGAUCUGGAGUUUGACAGAUAAUAGUUGAAGAUACAGUGUAGGGGUCUUCCCAGUGGAAAGAGUUGUGGGACUGUGUACAAUUUCUCUGGGAGGGAGUAUGAGAGAAAGAACAGAAUGCCAAACUGCACCGUGGUGCACCCACACCUAGGAGGUGAUGUGAUGGUGAGCAGGAGUGAUCAGAGAAAAAAACCAGGAUAGUCUAAUGCCAAGAAGGGAAGGGGGGGGGGGUAGUUUCAAGUAUGAGAGGGUUGUCACCAGUGAAAAAUGCUACAAAAUCAAUUAUGUGGCCUGAGCACAUAAAUAAUAAAUAUUCGCUGAAUAAGUGAAAGAGAGAAAGAAAGGAAGGAAGAAAGAAAGAAAGCCAGCCAGCCCUUGGGUUUGAGAAUCAAUUUUUCUCAAUCAAAAUGGACAAGGCUGCCAACAGGAUUUCAAUGUUAGAUUUUACCCUAUGACCCCCACCCCCAUAAAAACACGUUUCUUCUUUCAGAAGUCAUCCUGUCCACCACACAGACAUCCUUCUCUGCUUCCCCCACGUUUCCCCUCAUCUUCCUUCCCAGUUCCCACAACCCAAGCAACACACCUUCCGUGUCAAAGGAGACAGGAAAUUCCAACUAGUUUCCACUUCAUUAAUGACUAUACUAUGCCUGUGGCUCCUCUUACAAAAAGGGAUAUGUGGCAACUGGGUGGAACAGGCGACUGCUUUCUAGCCCCAGCUGCACUGCUAACUAGCUGUGGGACUUUGGACCAGUUCUUCAACCUCUCUGGAUCAGGGCUUCUACACAGACAGGAGGAGAAGGUCCUUGCAACACUCUCAGAGAAGGAAGUGAGUACAAGACCCGGGGAAACGAACGCCAGACCUCUUCCCAGGGCGAAGAGCCAGGAUAGGAGGAGUGUACCAAGAAAGUGAGAAGGCGCUGCCCAGCCCUCGCGGAUCACCAGGGAGCAGAUCCCAUCCCCAAGGCUGGGAAGGAUCCCAACAAACCCGAGCGCAAUUCUCACCCCACACCCCACCUUUUCUAGACUCCCAGACAGCCGGGAAGCUCUAAAAAGCCCUGCGGGAAAAAUAAAGAUUUCUUUCCCAGA